GAAACCGUUCAGGGGUAAACCUGAGAAACCCAAANGAUCGAAUGGGGAGAUUCAUCGUCAGCUCAUUUUAUAUAUAUGCAAGUUAUGAUAUGGGUUACUGCUUUUGUAGUAUUGCCUGUACAUUCUUGUAUAUUUAGAUGUAAGAUGUUGUCGGCGUGCACUUCUCCCCUAGUAAGACGUCGCGACCCGUUGAGUGUUGGUCUACGGCCCAAGUGGGAUGCUUUUAGUGAAUGCAUUUAUUUGUAUUCAUUGAAAACCCUUGGUGUUACCUGACUGGCGCUCGUCGGUAUUCGUAUGGUAUUGAGCCGCAUUAAUAUAUAUAUGCGUCCAUAUCUGUCACAAGCGAGGUUAAUUACUGAUAGUACGGACCUAGUGCCGUCGUUGGUAUUAACCAGCUGUUGGUUGUACAGAAUUCUAGGACUGGCUUAUUUAUAAAAAUACCGGUCAGCGAUGCUAUUGCUUUGGGUACUUUCAGGACCCGUCUUGAAACACGGACCAAGGAGUCUAACAUGUACGCGAGUCAUUGGGAUUUUUAUAAAUUAAACCUAAAGGCGUAAUGAAAGUAAAGGUCGUCCUUGUGUCGACUAAGGGAGGAUGGGCUGUGUUAUGAUACAGCCUCGCACUCUCGGGGCGUCUCAUUCUCAUUGCGAGAAGAGGCGCACCUAGAGCGUACACGUUGG
rnacentral:rRNA from 1 species